AUAACAAUUUAAUGUUUUUGGAACAUGUCGAUGAUCGGCACGUCACAUAUGCAUACUUGACAUACAUCAUUUCAGAUCAGUUGUGCGGUCAAGCUGGGUACAGUUGUCUGGGAGUUAAACGAUGUGUGUGAACAUGCACAUUAACUGAUUUUUCUCAUAUUUUUUAGCAAUUGCAUUACAUGUAUUUGUUGAAUGUUCAAUUAUUGUCAGUAAAACAUGAUUUUUACCUAUUCUGCUGAAUUAACUUAAUUACCAAUGUAAACAGUGUGAUUUCAGGUGGGAUAAGCAAAAUAAUCAUUUUUUAAAUUAAUUAAGUUCAAGUAAUGGGCAUAAAAGGAAUAUGGUAAAAUUGUACGUGUUGAAUGUCUGUGUGUCUGUCUGUCUGCAAAUGUGAUAUUGUACCAUUUAUUGUAUUGAUUUUUUUUAAGGUUCAUGGUGAUUGGUACAGGAAAAACAUGAGGUCCAUGCAGAUGGUGUUUAAAACUAUUGGCCAGCAAAUGCACACCCAUUUGAAUACAUCUUGAAAAAGAACCAGCAAAAUGUGACAGUCGGCAAAAUAUAGGUUCCCGCAGACAGACGCAUUUUGCCGGAAAACGAAUCUGACAUGCCACCUCGAGAUUUUAACCAAGGAAAGACAAGUUGAUGUGCUUUGAUUUGAGGGGUCACUCACUACCGAACGAAAAUUAGGGACAUCGCUAUGAGAAGAAACGUUAACAUUGUCGCCUAUGGGAAAACAAUUAGUGGACUGUACCCAUAUUAGGAAGCCUAUAAGUUCAUGGUCAUUGGUACAGGAAAAACAUGAGGUCCAUGCAGAUGGUGUUUAAAACUAUUGGCCAGCAAAUGCACACCCAUUUGAAUACAUCUUGAAAAAGAACCAGCAAAAUGUGACAGUCGGCAAAAUAUGUAAGUUCAAGUUUUCUAAAAAAAAAAAA